CAGUCAUGAGGACUGAAAAAUUUUGAAUUCCUGUAAUAUGAAAGCUCAAAUUCCCAUCUAAUCACUUGUUUCCCAGAGCCAGACCAACUUUCGGGAGACGAUCAAAGAACUGCUGGAGAGGGACCUGAGUGCCAGACACAGAGGACAAUGCCUGGGUCUAUAUUGCUCUAUCUGAUAAUAACCAGAUUAUAGCUCCACAAUCCCAACAAAGAGACACAAGCAGUAUGAAGAAAGAGGAAGAUUCUUUCUCUGCUGAAGGACUGAAUGCACAAUCAUCUGCAAGCUUUGUAUAGCUGCCUUCCCUAAUCCCAGAGUCAAGCUAGCCUUCUGUUGGAUAGGAACACAUACACUUGAAGGAGUCCAACCCAAAGAGAAAUACCCAAAAGGAUGAACAGGAAUCCACUUUUUCUGAUGUCUCUGUCUGUCAGCAAACUGCAGAAGCACACAGUUUUCCAUCCUCA